GGAGGAAAGCAGGGGAUCGCAAGACCUUGCGCUUUUGGAGUGGCCGAUGCCUGAUUAGCUAGUUGGUGGGGUAAUGGCCUACCAAGGCGACGAUCAGUAGUUGGUCUGAGAGGACGACCAGCCACACUGGGACUGAGACACGGCCCAGACUCCUACGGGAGGCAGCAGUGGGGAAUUUUGGACAAUGGGCGAAAGCCUGAUCCAGCAAUGCCGCGUGAGUGAAGAAGGCCUUCGGGUUGUAAAGCUCUUUCAGUCGAGAAGAAAAGGUUGUGACUAAUAAUCACAACUCAUGACGGUAUCGACAGAAGAAGCACCGGCUAACUACGUGCCAGCAGCCGCGGUGAUACGUAGGGUGCGAGCGUUAAUCGGAAUUACUGGGCGUAAAGGGUGCGCAGGCGGCUUUGUAAGUCAGAUGUGAAAUCCCCGGGCUUAACCUGGGAAU
rnacentral:rRNA from 1 species